rnacentral:rRNA from 1 species
UACUGAGGGUGCAAGCGUUAAUCGGAUUUACUGGGCGUAAAGCGUGCGUAGGCGGCUUAGUCAGUCAGAUGUGAAAGCCCCGGGCUCAACCUGGGAACUGCAUUUGAUACUGCUAAGCUAGAGUAUGUUAGAGGGAAGUGGAAUUUCAGGUGUAGCGGUGAAAUGCGUAGAGAUCUGAAAGAACACCAAUGGCGAAGGCAACUUCCUGGGACAAUACUGACGCUGAGGUACGAAAGCGUGGGGAGCAAAC